rnacentral:lncRNA from 1 species
AUGGAAAGAAUUGGCAUUUUGCUCACAUUAUCUGCUUUCAUAACCAUUCAUUUUCAAGUGAAGGCCAAGAGCUUUUCUAAAAAUGUCAUAAAUGGCAAAUCCAAGGAAAGGGGCAACUUUAGCAGAUAUUCAGCAAGAGCAUCAGCUGCAAUGAGAACACAGGCGGUUGCUUAA